AUUGCUGAGGCUCCGCUUCGGGUAGGAGGACGCUGAGGAGGCGCCGAGCCGCGCAGCGCUGCGGGGGAGGCGCCCGCGCCGACGCGGGGCCCAUGGCCAGGACCACCAGCCAGCUGUAUGACGCUGUGCCCAUCCAGUCCAGCGUGGUGUUAUGUUCCUGCCCAUCCCCAUCAAUGGUGAGGACCCAGACUGAGUCCAGCACGCCCCCUGGCAUUCCUGGUGGCAGCAGGCAGGGCCCCGCCAUGGACGGCACUGCAGCCGAGCCUCGGCCCGGCGCCGGCUCCCUGCAGCAUGCCCAGCCUCCGCCGCAGCCUCGGAAGAAGCGGCCUGAGGACUUCAAGUUUGGGAAAAUUCUUGGGGAAGGCUCUUUUUCCACGGUUGUCCUGGCUCGAGAACUGGCAACCUCCAGAGAAUAUGCGAGUGAGUAUGGGCUGCAGGGAGCUGCGCAUCCGGGAGCAGGGCAAGCGGCUCCGUGCAGGGCGGCCGGGGUGGCAGGCCGGUGUUUCUGUGCUGAUUUCAGGGUACGGGACACUGUUGGCUUUAGAGACCACCAGGCUGUUGUGUACAAUGUUUGAAAGACUUUAAUUUGUACCAGUUACCUUUGUGAGUCAUGUCUUUAGUGUUUUUUGUUGUUUCUGAUAGUAACUCACUUCUCUCUCACCUGAAGUUAAAAUUCUGGAGAAGCGACAUAUCAUAAAAGAGAACAAGGUCCCGUAUGUAACCAGAGAGCGGGAUGUCAUGUCGCGCCUGGAUCACCCCUUCUUUGUUAAGCUUUACUUCACAUUUCAGGACGACGAGAAGCUGUGUAUCCUUUGCGUGGUUGGUGCCGUCUGAAGCCACACCAGUCACCCCUCUCACUUGGAAUCAGACCCUGUGUGUUCCCACAAGCAGCCCCCGCUCCCUGCCGAGUGGGGUCCCUCAGGCCGCUGACAUUCAGGGAGGCAGCCGAGGCAGCGCCAGGGUGUGGCUGUGAGUCUGCACAGGACGUUACCUCCCGGAGAAGCCACUGAUGUGGCUCCAGCACAGUCCUCUCUGCUGCGGCUUGCUUGGUCGGUGUCCCUUGCUCCCCUAGAGCGCCAUCUUUUCUGUUAUUAAACCUUGGCUCAGGAAUCUGGGAGGCAAGG
rnacentral:sRNA from 1 species